CGUCACUGGUCGGGCGUCAAUAAGGUCCAGUCACAAUCCUAACAAUGUGGCCGUCUUAAGCAGUCGAGCCGAGCAGCAGCACAACGGGGCUUUGACAGGGAACUGCGCAUACAGGUCUUGCGAGACAGUCUCCUGGCCGGUCAUGACUACGGAGGAAUGGUGUGACAACUUACUUGACGGAGUGUCCCGAAUGGCGGAGGAAGACCUCAUCCAAAAGCCGACAUCGACGACCAGACGACAUUUGGCGUCCUUAAAAGAGCUCACUGAAUGAACGUACGGGAUCUCACGUGACGUUGGGGAGGGAGCACGCCAUAUCGACGACGUCGUUGUUGUACUCCGGCUGCGAUACGUUUAAUUUAAAAGUUCGUUGGAAUAUCCGCCUGCACGCACAGAGGUCAAUGGGAAGUGGACUCGAAAUCGAACAUCUGGUACCAAGCGACUGGUUCACAUGCUUUCCCGUGAGACGGAACUCGUACAGAGAUGCCGUUUGAAACCGAAAUACAUGGGGAAAUCGGGAGACAGUGGCCCCCGGAUAAAGUUUCUGAUACCUAUUUCACACCGUGAUGAAGAAUUCGUACAUACAUGUCGUCGGAUCCCUUGCAACCCAUACGGCGAAACUUUUAAUUUUCGAAGGGAAAGCAGAAGAAAACGGCAUGAAGUCAUAACGCCUGGUGCCGAAACUGUUUUUAUGUACACAUUGGGAGGAGCCGUUCUUCUUGGGUUCUUCA